rnacentral:rRNA from 1 species
CCUACGGGUGGCUGCAGUAGGGAAUAUUGCGCAAUGGGCGAAAGCCUGACGCAGCCAUGCCGCGUGAGUGACGAAGGUCUUCGGAUUGUAAAGCUCUUUUCUGAGGGAAGAAUUGCCGGGUCAGGAAAUGGUCCCGGCUUGACGGUACCUCAGGAAUAAGGAACGGCUAACUCCGUGCCAGCAGCCGCGGUAAUACGGAGGGUCCUAGCGUUGUUCGGAUUUACUGGGCGUAAAGGGAGCGCAGGCGGAUAGGUCAGUGAAAAGUGGAAUUCCGGGGCUCAACCUCGGACGUGCUUUUCAUACUGCCUGUCUUGAGUUCGUGAGAGGAAGGCGGAAUUCAGGGUGUAGCGGUGAAAUGCUUAGAUAUCCUGAGGAACACCGGUGGCGAAAGCGGUCUUCUGGCACGUUACUGACGCUGAGGCUCGAAAGCGUGGGGAGCGAACGGGCUUAGAUACCCUAGUAGUC